rnacentral:rRNA from 1 species
AUGAACGCUGGCGGCGUGCCUAAUCCAUGCAAGUCGAGCGAACAGACGAGGAGCUUGCUCCUCUGACGUUAGCGGCGGACGGGUGAGUAACACGUGGAUAACCUACCUAUAAGACUGGGAUAACUUCGGGAAACCGGAGCUAAUACCGGAUAAUAUAUUGAACCGCAUGGUUCAAUAGUGAAAGACGGUUUUGCUGUCACUUAUAGAUGGAUCCGCGCCGCAUUAGCUAGUUGGUAAGGUAACGGCUUACCAAGGCAACGAUGCGUAGCCGACCUGAGAGGGUGAUCGGCCACACUGGAACUGAGACGCGGUCCAGACUCCUACGGGAGGCAGCAGUAGGGAAUCUGCCGCAAUGGGCGAAAGCCUGACGGAGCAACGCCGCGUGAGUGAUGAAGGUCUUCGGAUCGUAAAACUCUGUUAUUAGGGAAGAACAAAUGUGUAAGUAACUAUGCACGUCUUGACGGUACCUAAUCAGAAAGCCACGGCUAACUACGUG